AUCGUCGCCGAUCAAAACUCC
rnacentral:siRNA from 1 species